UACCAUUUUGUUUGUUAUUUACUCAAUUUUGAAAUCCUGUCAUUUCUGCUUACCCACAGGACAGAUGGCAACAGCCACACAAAUCUCUGUGAAGGAUCCGCAGGGUACUGGUUACCAGAAGAUAAAGGAUGCAAGAGAAGAAUCGCUUUAUCCUUGCCCUGCAUUUUAUACUCCUUUUGUUUUUAUUUUCCCCCAGACGGAAGCAGAGAGACACUCCUCUCUCAGCCAUAAAAACCUGUGGGCUCAAGCAGUAUUGCACUUAUCAUGUUCAUGUGCUUAAAUAGAAUAAAGUUCUGGACAUUUUCACUCCCUAUUGUAGAUGUAUAGCACUUCUGCAAAGCAAAGUUGUGUUAGGAAAGUGUAUACUUGUAGCUGUUUCUAGUGCAGUACAUGUUUGAUACUUCUUUGUAUGUUUUCUUGCAAUUUAUUUUUCUUUGUUUCUUAAUUUGCUGCUUCAGUAUUGGCUAAUUUGGUUCCUCUGUAUAUCUCUCAUGCCUACCUUGUUGAAUUUCCCAUUCUCUCUAUGUCAGGCCUUACUUUGUGGUAUUCAGCCACUCCGGUGACUCAACUUCCAAAAGCUGGAUCCACUCCUGGGUGUUAAAAAUCCUCAAGAGACUGUGAAGCUGGACUUGAUAGUUCUCCAGAUUUAUCUCUGCAAAAAGGACCAAAUAUUAUACCAGCAGCUGUUGCCUUUCUGCAGUGUCCUGAGACCUUCCAAGUCUCUAAACUGGAGUUUAGAGCUUUCGUCCUUUUGGUGUACACUGGCCAAUGUUUGUGAGAAUAAUACAGGGCUUAAUUUCUACCUAAA